UACGGAGGGCGCAAGCGUUGUUCGGAAUCACUGGGCGUAAAGCGCGUGUAGGCGGCUUUGCAAGUCGGGUGUGAAAUCCCGAGGCUCAACCUCGGAACUGCACUCGAUACUGCUUGGCUCGAGUCCCGGAGAGGGUGGCGGAAUUCCCGGUGUAGGGGUGAAAUCCGUAGAGAUCGGGAGGAACAUCAGUGGCGAAGGCGGCCACCUGGACGGUGACUGACGCUGAGACGCGAAAGAGUGGGGAGCAAACAGG
rnacentral:rRNA from 1 species